AUGGGCUCGCCUUCAGUCGUUCUUCCUAAGGUGGUCGACGGUGAGAAGGAGGGCACUGCCCGCCGUGCCAAAUGGUGGUACGUGACGUUCCACAAUGUCACCGCGAUGGUCGGCGCCGGCGUGCUCAGCCUGCCCUACGCCAUGGCUCACCUCGGAUGGGGGCCAGGGAUAGUGGCGCUGCUGGUGUCGUGGUGCAUCACGCUGUACACGCUGCGGCUGCUGAUCGAGCUCCACGAGUGCGUGCCCGGCGUGCGCUUCGACCGGUACCGUGACCUGGGCGUGCACGCGCUGGGCCCGCGGCUGGGCCUGUGGGUGGUGGUGCCGCAGCAGCUCAUCGUGCAGCUCGGCUGCGACGUCGUCUACAUGGUCACCGGCGGCAACUGCCUGCAGAAGUUCGCCGAGUCUGUAUGCCCGGGCUGCACGCGGCUGCACCAGUCCUACUGGAUUUGCAUCUUCGGCUCCUCCCAGUUCCUGCUCUCGCAGCUCCGCGACCUCAACUCCAUCACCGCCAUCUCCCUCGCCGCCGCCGUCAUGUCCCUCAGCUACUCCACCAUAUCGUGGGCGGCGUGCUUGGCCAAGGGCCCCGUCGCCGGGGUGAGCUACGCGUACAAGGCCGGCACGGCGGCGGACUCGGUGUUCCGGGUGUGCAGCGCGCUGGGGCAGGUGGCUUUCGCGUUCGCCGGGCACGGCGUGGUCCUGGAGAUCCAGGCCACCAUCCCGUCCACGCCUACCAAGCCGUCCAAGGUGCCCAUGUGGAAGGGCACCGUCGCCGCCUACAUGGUCACCGCCGCGUGCUACUUCCCCGUGGCGUUCAUCGGGUACUGGACGUUCGGCCAGGACGUGAGCGACAACGUGCUCGUGGCGCUGGAGCGCCCGCCCUGGCUCGUCGCCGCCGCCAACAUGAUGGUGGUCAUCCAUGUCGUCGGGAGCUAUCAGGUAUACGCCAUGCCAAUAUUCGAAAGCAUGGAAACGUUUCUGACCACGAGGUUCAGGGUUCCACCGGGGCUGCUGCUCCGUCUGGUGGCUCGAUCAACCUACGUCGCGUUCACGCUGUUCGUCGCCGUGACUUUCCCGUUCUUCGGCGACCUCCUCGGCUUCUUCGGGGGCUUCGGAUUCACGCCCACCUCCUUCUUCCUCCCCUGCAUCCUAUGGCUGAAGAUCAAGAAGCCUCUGAGGUUCAGCGCGUCGUGGCUCGCCAAUUGGGGGUGCAUCGUCGUCGGGGUGCUGCUGAUGCUGGUUUCCACCAUGGGCGGGUUAAGGAGCAUCAUCCAGGACGCCUCCACGUUCCAGUUCUACUCUUGA
rnacentral:rRNA from 1 species